UGUGAAUGGAAACGUGGCUCAUUUGC
rnacentral:piRNA from 2 species